rnacentral:rRNA from 1 species
AUGAACGCUGGCGGCGUGCUUAACACAUGCAAGUCGAACGGAAAGGCUCCUGCUUGCAGGGGUACUCGAGUGGCGAACGGGUGAGUAACACGUGGGUGAUCUGCCCUGCACUUCGGGAUAAGCCUGGGAAACUGGGUCUAAUACCGGAUAGGACGAUGGUUUGGAUGCCAUUGUGGAAAGUUUUUCGGUGUGGGAUGAGCUCGCGGCCUAUCAGCUUGUUGGUGGGGUAAUGGCCUACCAAGGCGUCGACGGGUAGCCGUCCUGAGAGGGUGUACGGCCACAUUGGGACUGAGAUACGGCCCAGACUCCUACGGGAGGCAGCAGUGGGGAAUAUUGCACAAUGGGCGCAAGCCUGAUGCAGCGACGCCGCGUGGGGGAUGACGGCCUUCGGGUUGUAAACUCCUUUCGCUAGGGACGAAGCGCAAGUGACGGUACCUGGAGAAGAAGCACCGGCUAACUACGUG